AACAACCAAGCCUCCACGCUGGUGUUUA
rnacentral:sRNA from 1 species